rnacentral:rRNA from 1 species
AGAGUUUGAUCCUGGCUCAGGAUGAACGCUGGCGGCGUGCCUAACACAUGCAAGUCGAGCGGAUAUGUAGCAAUACAUAUUAGCGGCGGACGGGUGAGUAACACGUGGAUAAUCUACACACUACAGGGGGAUAACAAUGAGAAAUCAUUGCUAAGACUCCAUAAGCUCACACCAAGGCAUCUUGGAGUGAGAAACGAUUUAUCGGUAGUGUAUGAGUCCGCGCCUGAUUAGCUAGUUGGAGAGGUAAAAGCUCACCAAGGCGACGAUCAGUAGCCGGCCUGAGAGGGUGAACGGCCACAUUGGGACUGAGACACGGCCCAAACUCCUACGGGAGGCAGCAGUGGGGAAUAUUGCACAAUGGGGGAAACCCUGAUGCAGCAACGCCGCGUGAAGGAAGAAGGUUUUCGGAUCGUAAACUUCUAUCGACAGGGAAGAAAAAAAUGACGGUACCGAAU